CUACGGGUGGCAGCAGUGGGGAAUAUUGCACAAUGGGCGCAAGCCUGAUGCAGCCAUGCCGCGUGUAUGAAGAAGGCCUUCGGGUUGUAAAGUACUUUCAGCGGGGAGGAAGGGAGUAAAGUUAAUACCUUUGCUCAUUGACGUUACCCGCAGAAGAAGCACCGGCUAACUCCGUGCCAGCAGCCGCGGUAAUACGGAGGGUGCAAGCGUUAAUCGGAAUUACUGGGCGUAAAGCGCACGCAGGCGGUUUGUUAAGUCAGAUGUGAAAUCCCCGGGCUCAACCUGGCAACUGCAUCUGAGACUGGCAAGCUUGAGUCUCGUAGAGGGGGGUAGAAUUCCAGGUGUAGCGGUGAAAUGCGUAGAGAUCUGGAGGAAUACCGGUGGCGAAGGCGGCCCCCUGGACGAAGACUGACGCUCAGGUGCGAAAGCGUGGGGAGCAAACAGGAUUAGAUGCCCUGGUAGUC
rnacentral:rRNA from 1 species